CCUACGGGAGGCAGCAGUGAGGAAUAUUGGUCAAUGGGCUUACGCCUGAACCAGCCAAGUCGCGUGAGGGAAGACUGCCCUAUGGGUUGUAAACCUCUUUUGUCAGGGAGCAACGCCGGCUACGUGUAGCCGGACUGAGAGUACCUGAAGAAAAAGCAUCGGCUAACUCCGUGCCAGCAGCCGCGGUCAUACGGAGGAUGCGAGCGUUAUCCGGAUUUAUUAGGUUUAAAGGGUGCGUAGGCGGAAUGCCAAGUCAGCGGUAAAAGCGCGGGGCUCAACCUCGCUCCGCCGUUGAAACUGGCGUUCUUGAGUGGGCGAGAAGUAUGCGGAAUGCGUGGUGUAGCGGUGAAAUGCAUAGAUAUCACGCAGAACUCCGAUUGCGAAGGCAGCAUACCGGCGCCCAACUGACGCUGAAGCACGAAAGCGUGGGUAUCGAACAGGAUUAGAUACCCCAGUAGUC
rnacentral:rRNA from 1 species